CCUACGGGAGGCAGCAGUGGGGAAUAUUGGACAAUGGGGGGAACCCUGAUCCAGCCAUGCCGCGUGUGUGAAGAAGGCCCUCGGGUUGUAAAGCACUUUCAGUGAGGAAGAACGCCUGGUGGUUAAUACCCAUCGGGAAAGACAUCACUCACAGAAGAAGCACCGGCUAACUCCGUGCCAGCAGCCGCGGUAAUACGGAGGGUGCGAGCGUUAAUCGGAAUUACUGGGCGUAAAGCGCGCGUAGGUGGCUUGAUAAGCCGGUUGUGAAAGCCCCGGGCUCAACCUGGGAACGGCAUCCGGAACUGUCAAGCUAGAGUGCAGGAGAGGAAGGUAGAAUUCCCGGUGUAGCGGUGAAAUGCGUAGAGAUCGGGAGGAAUACCAGUGGCGAAGGCGGCCUUCUGGACUGACACUGACACUGAGGUGCGAAAGCGUGGGUAGCAAACAGGAUUAGAUACCCUAGUAGUC
rnacentral:rRNA from 1 species